UACGAAGGGGGCUAGCGUUGUUCGGAAUCACUGGGCGUAAAGCGCACGUAGGCGGAUCUUUAAGUUAGGGGUGAAAUCCCGAGGCUCAACCUCGGAACUGCCUUUGAUACUGGGGAUCUCGAGUCCGGGAGAGGUGAGUGGAACUGCGAGUGUAGAGGUGAAAUUCGUAGAUAUUCGCAAGAACACCAGUGGCGAAGGCGGCUCACUGGCCCGGAACUGACGCUGAGGUGCGAAAGCGUGGGGAGCAAACAGG
rnacentral:rRNA from 1 species